rnacentral:misc_RNA from 1 species
AAGUCGUAACAAGGUUUCCGUAGGUGAACCUGCGGAAGGAUCAUUAACACGUAUCCAACGUUAAAAAACCCUGUGAACCUUUAUUGUGCUUCUACACUUGUUAAAAAGUAGCAAUCCCUAGUAAAUCAUUGCCGAACAGUUUUCGAUUUAGGGACUUCUGCAAAAAGUGUACUUAAGCGCGAGGCAAGUGGCCUGGCCUCCCCAAGGUGUCAGUGAAGUGGAAGUGUCACUGGCGUUGGAAGGAGGACGCAGUCACGAUCGCUAGAGGCCAACACGGCCGGCGACCGGGUCACUGGGCUCUGCCCCCCUCUAACCACAUUGCUUAUGCAUUUAGAACGGCUAUCAGUCGUUUAACCAAAAUUUAACAACUGUUAACAAUGGAUAUCUUGGUUCUC